AUCCUUCAAAUUCCUUACCCCUCAGAUUUAAACAUUGGCCUGAGUGUCUAUAAAAGGCAGAAAAGUAAAACUGAAGUGGAGUUGGAUUCUUUAGUGAUGUACAAGUUAAUUUUAAACAAAU
rnacentral:snoRNA from 1 species